AGUGAUUAGAGUUUGAUCCUGGCUCAGGACGAACGCUGGCGGCGGGCCUAACACAUGCAAGUCGCACGAGAAAGCGCCCUCGGGCGCGAGUAAAGUGGCGGACGGGUGAGUAACGCGUAUGGAACCUGCCCUUGAGCGGAGGACAACUACUGGAAACGGUAGCUAAUACUGCAUAAUGUCCACGAGUCGCAUGACUUGUGGAUCAAAGCCUUCGGGCGCUCAGGGAUGGUCAUGCGUCGGAUUAGCUCGUUGGUGAGGUAACGGCUUACCAAGGCAAUAAUCCGUAGCUGGUCUGAGAGGAUGAUCAGCCACACUGGCACUGAGACACGGGCCAGACUCCUACGGGAGGCAGCAGUGGGGAAUCUUGCGCAAUGGGGGAAACCCUGACGCAGCCACACCGCGUGGAGGAAGACACCCCUAUGGGGCGUAAACUCCUUUUCUGCCGGAAGAAAACCCUGUUUUGCAGGGCAUGACGGUACGGCAGGAAUAAGCACCGGCUAACUCCGUGCCAGCAGCCGCGGUAAUACGGAGGGUGCAAGCGUUGUCCGGAAUCACUGGGCGUAAAGGGUGUGCAGGCGGGGCAGCAAGUCAGCGGUGAAAUCCUGCGGCUUAACCGUAGAAGUGCCGUUGAAACUGUUGCUCUUGAGUCCUAGAGAGGUCGCUGGAAUUCGUGGUGUAGCGGUGAAAUGCGUAGAUAUCACGAGGAACACCAGAGGCGUAACGAGGCGACUAGAUAGGUACUGACGCUGAGGCACGAAAGCGUGGGGAGCGAACAGGAUUAGAUACC
rnacentral:rRNA from 1 species